rnacentral:antisense_RNA from 1 species
CCCGUCAUCGUACAGCCGGUUAACUAGGGGCUGAGCAUCAAUCAUCAACGUCUCCAGGUCUUUGUAGACUCGGAUGACCCUCCCCGGGAUGGCUGUUCUCACAUUGUUCAGUUGUUGCUCGAUCAGCGUGUUCACCACGCUGCUGAAACUUAGUUCAAUCAUCUGAGGUCUUCCUCGAUAAUGAUGCCACAGAAGCAAUCAACGUACCAUUCCUGGUCAUCGUAGCCCCCGUAGUACCUGGCUGAGUUGAUCCGAUACCAGCCUGUCACUUCUUUUGACUCGAUACGGACCACUUGCCCAGG